rnacentral:lncRNA from 10 species
GGCUUGAGGUGGCUUCCGGCCGCCAGGCGAGACUCCGCGGGAAAACUCCCUGCUAGAGAGACUAGGAGAUUUGGGGCUGCGGCCGUUUCCUCCGGAGCACCCACGGGACUGUGUGCUGGGGUCCCUCCACCGGCUGUGUCCUUUAUUCUUCUUUCUCACCCAACGAUUUACCUGAACGGUUAUAAAGUGCACGUUAUUUCCCUAAGCACUUUGAGUAUAUUGGCCCACUGCAUUCUGGACUUCAAAAUUUCUGAUGCGAAAUAUGCUGAUACUUUUGUUGAAGAAAUCUGGGCUUUGAGCAUCUGUAAGAUAUUUGUUGGAAGGUUUUGUCUGGUCCUUCUUACUGAUGUGUUGCUCUUCUUCAUGGCUCGUGAAAACUAUUAGAGUCAUCCAAGGGUGGGAAGAGAGAUCAGCAACGUUAACUGGGUGUCAAGAAAACAUACCGAGAUUGAAGCCAUCCACUUCUGCAGGAACACCGAAAAGAAAGGUACAACGCUUGGGGAAAGACUGGAUUUCAUUAGGGACAGUGACAAUACCUGUUUGACAUAGAGGUUCCAGCGCUGGCCAGGGAACUCCCUGAGCACUAGUAAUGCCAGUGUCAGUUGUAGAAUUCUUUUAAAAUUUGAGUUAAUAGGGUCACUACUUUUUGAAUGCCUGCUGCAGAAACUAAGAAAAAUGGCUGGCUGAGCCAAUAGAAGAGGAUUUUGUAGCUCAACUCCUGGGGAAGAAAAUACUCCUUUUGACGGAGGGCAGGUGCUGUAGACCUUGCAAGGACAUAGCCAGUCUGCAAUGUCAUCUAGGCCCACCCGCUAAAGUUUUAAAAGUAAAGUAAAGUAUUU